rnacentral:lncRNA from 1 species
CUCCUAGGCCUAUUCUGUCCUUAACCGCUCCUCUCUCCACACCUUUCUCACCUCCCUUCACUUACCUCAUUCCGUGCGUUUCUGCCCGUCGUCAAUCACACCUAUUCACAUCAUCUCCCUUACAAAUUUUUAAUCACAGAGUUCCUCUCUCUCACGGACCUCACUCACUCACCAAACUCCUCAUUCUCUUUCCUCCUGCGACCUCCACCAUAUACCUCCCUUCACCUUUCAUUUUCAUCUUUCCCGUCUAUUUCCACCCGCCUAUUCCAUGUAUCACAUUUUUCUCCUCCAUUUUCUAAUCGACGCCUAU